rnacentral:tRNA from 1 species
GCCCUCGUAGCUUAGUAGGUAAAGCGUGCGGCUGUUAACCGCAAGAUCGGCAGUUCGAGUCUGCCCGGGGGCG